GGACUACUGGGGUAUCUAAUCCUGUUUGCUCCCCACGCUUUCGCGCCUCAGCGUCAGUAUUGGUCCAGAAAGUCGCCUUCGCCACUGGUGUUCCUUCCGGUAUCUACGCAUUUCACCGCUACACCGGAAAUUCCACUUUCCUCUACCAUACUCUAGUCUUGCAGUAUCAAAUGCAGUUCCCUGGUUAAGCCAAGGUCUUUCACAUCUGACUUACAAAACCGCCUACGCGCUCUUUACGCCCAGUAAUUCCGAUUAACGCUCGCACCCUCUGUAUUACCGCGGCGGCUGGCAC
rnacentral:rRNA from 1 species